AUGAUCUCAACUUUCCUUUGUAAAUUGGUGCUUUGCGGCCGGGCCAGAGUUAACGAAAUGGGGCAGGGGCAGAGCCCGAGCCCGGUGGUGAAGCUGGGGGCGUGGGGAAGCGACGCCGGGGCCGCCCACGACAUCGACGUCACCGCUGCGGCGCCGCACCGGCUGGAGAGCAUCGUCGUCCGCUGGGGCAAGGUCAUCGACUCCGUCGCCUUCACCUACACCGACGAGGGCGGGCAGCUGCACACCGCCGGGCCCUGGGGCGGCGCCGGAGGUGUAGAGGAAGACACUCUAUCUAUCCAUCUCUCUCUUAUUCCAAAAUUGGUCGCCUGGUCGGUGGGCCCGUUCCGGUUCAAGGAGAUCGAGGACUGCAUCACCUCGCUCAAGUUUGUGACCAACCGGGGGGCCACCUACGGCCCCUUCGGCCGAGGGGACGGCGCGCACCACAGCCUGCCAGUGCUCGACGGCGGCAGCCUCGUCGGCAUGUUUUGCCGCGCUGGAGACUACCUCCACGCUAUCGGCUUCCACGUCCGACCCUUGGCCGUCGUCGAGUCCACGGCCUCGCCGGCCAAGCCUCAAGGGGAGAGUUUGCCUGCCGUAGCCACUGAGGGAUAG
rnacentral:rRNA from 1 species